GAGGUCACCAUGGGAACUGCCUUGUGGGGACAAGGGGCACCCCUCCUCCUCUGCACAUGCUCACAAGGUCCUGAGCUGGUGAACCUCCCAUUGCUGCCUUGACUCUGCCAUGGGCACUGGGCUACUCUGCCGGGCGACCCUCUGGCUCCUGGGGGCAGGUCACGCGGGAGCUGGAGUGUCCCAGUCCCCCAGGCACAGGGUCACAGGGAGGAACCAGACUAUUGCUCUCAGGUGUGAUCCAGUAUCUGGUCACGUUUCCCUUUACUGGUACCGACAGACGUUGGGGCAGGGCCUGGAGUUUCUGACUUAUUUUCAGGACAAAAGCGAACCAGACGAAUUACAGCUGCGUAAUGGCCGGUUCUCUGCUGAGAGGCCCGAGGGCUCCUUCUCCCACCUGAAGAUUCAGCGAGUGGAGCCAAAGGACUCGGCUGUGUAUCUCUGUGCCAGCAGCUUAGUCACAGUGUGGCACAGCCACCUCCUUCCUGUUCACGAACCCCCUCCGUCUCUUUCCUUGCAGCUCCUAGGGGCCUUUGGUAGGUCGCAGACAUGGCUAGGAUAGC